GACGAACCGAGCGACCGUUGUUCGGAAUCACUGGGCUUAAAGGGCGCGUAGGCGGUGCGGUAAGUCACCUGUGAAAUCUCCUGGCUCAACUGGGAGCUUGCAGGCGAAACUGCCGUGCUGGAGUGUGGGAGAGGUGCGUGGAAUUCCUGGUGUAGCGGUGAAAUGCGUAGAUAUCAGGAGGAACACCUGUGGCGAAAGCGGCGCACUGGACCACAACUGACGCUGAGGCGCGAAAGCUAGGGGAGCAAACAGG
rnacentral:rRNA from 1 species